GAAGAGGCCUGCCGAGAGGCCCCUCCUCCGUCGUCUCCGGCCGCUGGUGCUUAGGUCCCGGCGGAGGCCGGCUGUGAGCCUCAGCUUCCUCGGGCUGGACCCUGCGGGGCGCUCCCCGCGGCCAAGGAGGCGACUGAGCUGACUUGUGGGGGCGACGAGACUCUCGCCGGCUGCACCAUGGUCCAGCUUACGCCCGCCCUGGCCAAGGCCUAUCACGGCGGCUACCUGACCAUCCGCCUCGCCCUGGGCGGGUGCACCAACCGGCCUUUCUACCGCAUCGUGGCCGCCCACAACAAGAGCCCCCGGGACGGCCGCUUCGUGGAGCAGCUGGGCUCCUACGACCCUCUGCCCAACAGCUGCGGGGAGAAGCUGGUGGCGCUCAACCUGGAGCGGAUCCGCCACUGGAUCGGCUGUGGCGCCCACCUGUCCAAGCCGGUGGAGAAGCUGCUGGAUGGGAAGCCGGGGGCUGGAACCCGGGUCCUGCGCGCUAGUACUCUGUGCGCUUAAGUGGAUGCACCACCACCAGGCCCCCAGGGUGCUUUACCUUGAAGGCCGUUCCUGGCAUAAUGAGAGGAAAAGGUCUUUCUGGCUUCUUCCCUCUGCAUCCCAUGAUAAUCACAAAUGCUGAGAGACUGCGACGGAAACGGGCACGUGGAGUCCUCUUGGCGUCUCAGAGCACAGAUACAGAGACUGCAGGAACAAAAGAAAGCUGACUUCAGUGCGGACAAGGUCAAACCACUUGUGUAGAAGUCUUGGAAUUUUACUAGAUUCACAUGUUAAUAAAUAAUAGUUUUAAAGUUU